CGUCGCAUGCUUUUGCAAAAAGACCCUUCACUUUUUCGAAAAUUGAACCCGCACUCCCUACGUAAGUGGCUCUGGGGAAAACGAUUCGGUAAAAAAAAUCCCUUUCGCGUAUCCUCUGUUUCUUGGUAUUCAGACCGGCAGUUGGAGGCGGCCGCGGCGAACGGGGCGGACGAGGUGGCGGAGCAGGGGCCCCGGCGAGUGGGGAGCUGGAGGCACAGCGCAUCCGGCGCCGCACGGGGACUACGAGCCGGCGGCGCACCUGUCACCGACCAGCGCAGACCCCAAGGCCGUGCCGACGAGGAAGGAGAGAAUCAGGAUGAGGAGGAUGUCGCUGCGGCAGCGAAGGUAGCCAGCAGCCUGAUGAAGCAUCUACGGCCCAGCUUCUCCGGCGCGCCAUCCGGAGAUGGGACGGACGAUCGAGGCGAAGGACGAUGGAGAGGUGGUCGGAGGCGGCGAGCUCCAAGGCAGGCGAGUUGAUGCGGUUCCAGAUGGACGACGGCUUCGCGGGCGGCUGGGCCGAAUCAGCUGCCGUGGCCCAAGCGCGGACGAACGUGCGUUCCUCUCGUCGUCGUCCUCCCGACGGCAGGCCAGGCAGGCGGCAAGAGCUUCUCCGUUCUCCUUGGCGACCUCAAGGUCCCGCUCUUCGGGGUGCUGCUCCAGCAAAGCAGCAGCACGCGCCUCGAAUGGCAGGGGCGGCCGCCGUGGUUUGAGGACGUGCUGCGGGCGUCGACGGCUACCGCGCCCCGGAGGUGGUGGACGCGCGGCGACACUCUCUGGGCGUGCUCUUGCUGGAUCUGCUCAACGGCAAGUCCUCGACGCACGCGUCGCUGCAGGAUGGCGACGACGGCACGCUGGACCUGCCGCGGUUGGUGCAGUCGGUGGUGCGCGAGGAGUGGACGACCGAGGUGAUUGGCGUGGAGCUGGUGCGGCUAGGCGCCGCGCCGAGGAGAAGAUGGACUCGCUACCGCUGGCACCGGCGAAGCUACGACAUAGCACGCCGCUGGCCUGGCCAGCACCGGCGCUCCGCACACAUCCCUGCCUGACGGCCCUCCAUCACAUAGAUACACAAACACAACAGCGAGCUUCAGUUAUCUGAAUUUUCGGUGCAGUGUCGUGAUUUGGAUGGACGCCCGAACACAACAGCGAGGCCAGCUUCAGUUCUCUGAAUCUUCAGUGCAGUGUCGUGAUUUGGAUGGAAUUGGAGACCGUGUCCUUCUCCAACAUAAGUUAAUUUCCAAUGUAAUCGAAUUUGAGUCUCUGUUCUUCUCCAAGGCAAAAGCAUGUAGUACCCGACCCGGAUUGGACUUGGCUGUCAUAAGGAGGGAUCCUCGACCGGAACGUCCAUCAUGCCAUGUCCCUCGACCAGAAUCUCCAUCAAAUCCCAUCACAUUGCAACUUUCAGAGGAACAUCCAAUGUCGCUGGCGGAGGAAAAUCAUCCGUCCAGCCAUACUAUGCCGAGUUCGCCGGCGGAAGAAGAACACCCAUCGAGCCCUCCAUCGCCUGAGGCGGCUACACAAAGUGAUGGGAGGUAGAUUGAGCUGAUAAAUUUCUGCACCCACCUUGAGGUCCAUAACGUUCUCCUAAUUAUAUGCAGCCCAAUUCGUAUAGAUGUAUUUGUUUGAGGGAGAGGACUAUCUGUGAUCAGAAGCAACAGUAUGUGAUCAUCAUGUGUGCGAGAGAUGGCAGGAGUAUGUGAUAUGUAUUUCUGUGUACACUACUAAUAUGUAUUGACUGUUCAUGUUGGUACAGUAGGUUCAUGAUUGCUUAUGGAAACAAUAAAAUUACUUGAGGAGGAUUUUAUGAGUAUGUACUUUGAGACUUGAGAGGCUGUUAUUGACAUGGAUUCUCCGUCUACUAGAGAGGCUGAUGUCAAAUCAACAUUGGAACAAGGGCAAUAGAAGUGGAAUGAGGAGAAGGUUGUUAGCUCGUCGUGUGGUCGAUUUGGUUUCUGGAAAUUCUUUCGCAUACUAUGUUUGAGAGCUUUUGUUCUUGAGUUCUUCUGGUGGAGGGAAUCAGAAGUGAUUCUUCUGCAAUGUGAGGAGAUCUCCAAAUCAAGCCAGCCUCCAAGAGAAGACAACAAGUAGUACAUCUCUACCCAGACGAGCUGAAUCUGAACGACUCAUAUUAUCAUGUUACCGUGUACCAGUCCGGCAGAUGUGCAAGUGCAACUACAUUGGUUGAGUGUAAGGCAGACUGAUUCAUCUGCGUGAAGCCAGUAUGACAAGGCUAAGUGUACACAAGGUAAAAAAACACAAUAAAUAUGGCCCCUUGAUAUUUCUGUUUAUGGGUUGUUUUUAGGGGAGCUCAUAGUUUAGCAGUUCUCUUCUGUGCUAAUCUGAAUUGUAGGUGGCCCAUUGUUUAAUUGCUCAUGCACAUUAUUAAUUGUGGUUUGCAUCGUCAAUCUGCACUUUGGUAGGAGCACUUAGGAGUUCCUGACUAUUCUCUGGGCAACCUCCUAUAUUUUAUAGUAGUUCAACUUAGCCUUUAUUUGUGGCAAACCAUGAUUCUGUACUACACCUUGGAAUCUUUUUUAGCUGAUUUAUUAUGCAAAGUACAGUAGUAACUUUGUUUGGAUCUGAACUUAUAUCACUCUAAGAACUUCUACAUAGAAUGAUUUAUCAUCACUAGAAUAUUUAUACCCCGUUUUAAUGCACGGGCAUGUUUUCUUGCAAAAUUUAUUUUAAAUGUUUUUGCUGGUUGAUUAUGUUUGGAGUUCCUUUCUUUGUUAUUAUCUUCAUUGCAUUGGCAGUUUCUUUUAUCCGGUACCAAUUUUUGUGGUUAUAUAUGCUUUACUUAUUCACUUAGAAUAUCAAUGUCUUAUCGGUGAAUCGGUUCACUUGCACAAGGAUCUUGCCAAAACAUCAAGUUUCCCGAACAUAAAAAUUAUGUCAUUUCGGUGGAACAAAGAAUUAAUCUCUAGCACGGUGAAACAAAUAAUUUAUCUCUAGCACUAAAAUUAUGUUUCUUACUAACAAGAAUGUACAACUGCAGUAUUUUUAUUAUGUUACGACUAAUCGUUGGGUUGCUCCAUUAGCAAGAAGUCAAUUUGUCAGUGGAAACAUAGCUGCAAGGAUGCGAUAUUUCAACUUUGAGGUUACUUAAGCUUUUGGAUUUCAGAUUUAAUUGCCAUCAUGAAACUGGUAUGCAAUGGAGCUGCACUUGCAUGCACAUGCUGAUUUCUAAAUAUCGCACAGUACUAUAGUUGUGAUCCUCUAAAUAGCUUAUUUUUUAGCACAGUCUUGCGGAAUAGUUACAGUGAACAAAAAGCUUGCAUUUGAUUGAUUUGAUUUGUUAGUUUUUUGAAUGGCGCUGCCCCUAUUAGGCUAAGUAGAAGCACUAUACCGGGACUAAAGUACAUCAGGUUACCUUUCAUGAGGUCUGUGGAAUUUUUGUAAUUUGUGGUAUUGGUAUUUUUGGAAUUAUUCUGGGUACAAGGAAAGAAGUGACAGAGAACUGCAAUUUUUUUGUGGUAAAAUUUACUGAAAUUGGUGUUUCUUUUCAAGAUUAUAUUACUGUUUGCCCAUUUGAUCCUUGGAUGAUCUACUAAUUUUCUUUUCUAUUACUUGCGGAUAAUUUGCUUCAGUUCAUCAAAUUACCUGGGGAAACAUACUCAUUGUUUAUCUAAAGAUAUAUUGGGCAUCAGUCCACCUGUCAUGAGGUCUCUAAACUUUUUAGGCAUGUUUAUUUUCUGAAUAAUUUAUUGGAGAUACUAUGCUUGGACUCACAAAUGCACGUAGUGCUUCCACUAGAGGGAUGUUCUUCAUUUUUUCUGUGUUAUUCCUCUUUCAAGUUUUUGGUCCUUGAAAAGUAAUAGUACUUGCUAGGUUUCUAGCUUUACUUUUUUUGUAGUACAAGCUAAAUGUAUAUGCCUGAAUUUACAUAUCGGAGUGUUUGAGUUGAUUAAGGGUAUGAGAGAGAACAAUUUUCAUUCUCAAACAACACCCGACAUCAUUAAUUUUCUUAUUUACCAAUUGAAACACGAGGCAAUAAUAGCAGAACUUAAGUGUGUGAACAUAUCAAUAUAAAAUGAUUGGCCGGAUUAUGUUUUUUAUGCAUUCUAGAAGUGGCAUUUCCGUGAAAUUACAAACUAGCUUUACAUUUUUCUCGGAACAUUUUGUGAAAUUUUAUUGGAGAAUAUUUUUCUCUUUUUCCAUCGUUCGUUGCCCAUUCGUCCCAUUCUGCUCC